UCGGAGCUAAUACCGCAUAAGACCACAGUCUGGCAUCAGACAGGGGUAAAAGCAGUAAUGCGUUUUGAGAUGGUCCUGUGUCCUAUCAGCUAGUUGGUGAGGUAACGGCUCACCAAGGCUAAGACGGGUAUCCGGCCUGAAAGGGUGAACGGACACACUGGAACUGAGACACGGUCCAGACUCCUACGGGAGGCAGCAGUGGGGAAUUUUGGACAAUGGGCGCAAGCCUGAUCCAGCGACGCCGCGUGAAGGAUGAAGGCCUUCGGGUUGUAAACUUCUUUUGGAGGGGACGAAUAAAUUGACGGUACCCUCAGAAAAAGCCACGGCUAACUACGUGCCAGCAGCCGCGGUAAUACGUAGGUGGCGAGCGUUACUCGGAAUUACUAGGCGUAAAGCGUAUGUAGGCGGUUGUAUAAGUCUAUGGUGAAAUUUCCUGGCUCAACUGGGAAGGGGACAUAGAUACUGUAUAGCUUGAGUGUUGGAGGGGGAGG
rnacentral:rRNA from 1 species